rnacentral:rRNA from 1 species
UACGGAGGGGGCUAGCGUUGUUCGGAAUUACUGGGCGUAAAGCGCACGUAGGCGGCUUUGCAAGUUAGAGGUGAAAGCCCGGGGCUCAACUCCGGAAUUGCCUUUAAAACUGCAUCGCUAGAGUUGUGGAGAGGUAAGUGGAAUUCCGAGUGUAGAGGUGAAAUUCGUAGAUAUUCGGAAGAACACCAGUGGCGAAGGCGACUUACUGGACACAUACUGACGCUGAGGUGCGAAAGCGUGGGGGAGCAAACAGG